rnacentral:lncRNA from 10 species
UCAAAGUGCUGGGAUUACAGGCGUGAGCCACUGCGCCCGGCCGGCUAUUAUUAUUCUUAAGUGUGGCAUCUCAGGAUCUGAACUCCCACCUCUGAGAUGCAUCAUCCCUUUGUCACAUGGAAGGAAAGCCUGUAGUGUUUGCUGCCUCCUGUUUCCUGCCCCUUUGUUCGCAAGUACACUCGUCUUUUUUUGUUUGUUUCAACAGUAGAAAGAAAUGCAUGUCCUUUUGGAACUUAAGACGAAAGAUAAUUGUGAUUGGAGUUUUCCCACACCAUAAGGUGUGCCUUGUCUCCUGCAGGGCGGGUCAUCUGUGGGCUGUCCUCCACUUCCUCUGGGUGCUGAGUGAGCAACAGUGAGCAACAGCAGCUCUGGCUCAGAAUUGCUUCAGCUGUUUGGGCUCUUUUUUGGUUUCCCGUGAAUUUUAGAAGUUUUUCCUAGUUCUGUGAAAAAUGACAUUAGUAGCUUGAUAAGAAUAGCGCUGAAUCUAUAGAUUACUUUGGGCAGUAUGACCAUUUUAAUGAUGUUGGUUCUUCUAAUCUAUGGGCAUGGAGUAUUUUUCCACUUGUUUGUAUCAUCGAUAAUUUAUUUCAACAGUGUUCUGAAGUUCUACUUGUAGAGAUCUUUCACCUCCGUGGUUAAAUUCCAAGCAUCUCCAAGCCUCUACCCCAAGUUAGCUCCAGGGAUUGGGAGCAACAAAGGGCUCUCCCUCAGCCUUGGAUCCCCAGUGGAAAGAAGAGUCAUAGAGGGAGGCUCUCUGCCUCUUUCACAUACUGGGGCUUCACUCACCUUAUCCGCCUGAUGCCAGCAUGGGGGCUUUUUGCCUGAAUUCUCCUUCCUGGGAUCUGAGGGAUGAAAUAAGAAAUUCUCUUCUGCUCUUUCCAUGGUCUCCCUCUGAUGCCGAGCCGAAGCUGGACUGUACUGCUGCCAUCUCGGCUCACUGCAACCUCCCUGCCUGAUUCUCCUGCCUCAGCCUGCCGAGUGCCUGCGAUUGCAGGCGCGCGCCGCCACGCCUGACUGGUUUUCGUAUCUUUUUGGUGGAGAUGGAGUUUCACGCUGUGUUGGCCGGGCUGGUCUCCAGCUCCUAACCGCAAGUGAUCCGCCAGCCU